ensembl:lncRNA
UAUACGUAGAUGUGAACUCGUGAAUGUGCUUGUGUUAUCCAAAGUAUCAUUGUAUUAUACAAAGCAUUUGUUUUGUUUUUUUCAGAUAGUUCGGGCAUUUGUACAGUCUGCUACAAGAAGAUGUCAGGGAAGAAAAAGGCAAGUGCUAAUGAUAUUUUAUCUAAAGCAACAUUCUGCUGUCAGAUUAAAGCCAAGUACACAUCAGACGAUUCUUUUAUCACAGAUUGGUCCAGGGAGUCAUUAAUAUAAUCCUUGGGUGAGGAGUGAAUCGGCAGUUAAAGAAUCGUUUGAUAUGUACCUGGCAUAACUAUUUAUCAUGCAAAAUCUUUUGCAGGAGACAUGCUCAUUCUGCUCUACAGAAAAGAGUCCAAAACCAGAGGCAGAAACAGCUGAGAUGGAGACUGCAGAGGCAGUUGAAGUAGCAAAAACAAAGGUGGAGGUUGUUGCAGAUACAUCAGAUGCAGAGGAAGAGGAGGAGGCGGCGGCAUCGGAGAAAAAGGAUGGAUUCUAUGUGGACAGCCUGUUGAAGGUGGCGUCUUCAAAGAAAGCUAAAAGGUUGGUAAUGCUACGACUAGAGUUGGGUUGGGUGGGUGUGCCUUUUUAUAUGACAAAUUGACUUGAUAGAGGCAAGAGUGCAGAUACCAUCAGUAGAAUGUGUGUUAUGUGCCUAAUGCAACUAAUGCAAAAAACAGUUAAAACUACAAACUAUGUAGAGUAAUGAGUAAUGGCUUAUUUGUCAAACAAUAUGAUGUUGUUCACUUAAGCCUCAUGGUUUUAUAGGUGAUCUUUGUCUACAGAUAUGUUGGCUUUUGAUGUUCACAAAAAAUGAUGUGCUAUGAUUGCACAGGCACUUUGUUUUUUGUAGAGGAGCUGCUCUGCACCAGAAAAAUUCUCUGGUCACCUCAUGGUGACUUAUUUGAGGAAGGCAAAGGGGGAAAAAAAGAGCUUGUGAGGGAAUUGAAAGAGGCAGGGGUGCAUCUGAGUCCGUAUGGCUCAAACACUACAAUGUGCACCAAACUAGUUGAAGGUAACAUAUAUGCAGUCAGAACUAGGCGAUUUCUUUCAAACAGAUUCCCUUAUUAUUGAAUUAGGUGUUCCCACCAAUGGUUGUAGAACUGCAAGUUUUAGAAUGUCAGCCAUGUUGGAGGCAUAAGUAGCCUAGGUGAAUGAAUGAGGCAUAGGCAGACAAAUGCCAAUGGCCAUACAGUUUAACAAAAUGUAAACUGUUUAACUAAA